rnacentral:rRNA from 1 species
AGAGUUUGAUCCUGGCUCAGAUUGAACGCUGGCGGCAUGCCUUACACAUGCAAGUCGAACGGUAACAGGGAGCUUGCUCCGCUGACGAGUGGCGAACGGGUGAGUAAUAUAUCGGAACGUACCUUUGAGUGGGGGAUAACUAGUCGAAAGAUUAGCUAAUACCGCAUACGAUCUACGGAUGAAAGCGGGGGAUCGCAAGACCUCGUGCUCAUAGAGCGGCCGAUAUCUGAUUAGCUAGUUGGUGAGGUAAAGGCUCACCAAGGCAUCGAUCAGUAGCUGGUCUGAGAGGACGACCAGCCACACUGGGACUGAGACACGGCCCAGACUCCUACGGGAGGCAGCAGUGGGGAAUUUUGGACAAUGGGGGCAACCCUGAUCCAGCAAUGCCGCGUGAGUGAAGAAGGCCUUCGGGUUGUAAAGCUCUUUUGUCAGGGAAGAAACGGGAUGUCCUAAUACGGUGUCCUAAUGACGGUACCUGAAGAAUAAGCACCGGCUAACUACGUGCCAGCAGCCGCGGUAAUACGUAGGGUGCAAGCGUUAAUCGGAAUUACUGGGCGUAAAGCGUGCGCAGGCGGUUAUGUAAGACAGGUGUGAAAUCCCCGGGCUUAACCUGGGAAUGGCAUUUGUGACUGCAUAGCUAGAGUGUGUCAGAGGGGGGUAGAAUUCCACGUGUAGCAGUGAAAUGCGUAGAGAUGUGGAGGAAUACCGAUGGCGAAGGCAGCCCCCUGGGAUAACACUGACGCUCAUGCACGAAAGCGUGGGGAGCAAACAGGAUUAGAUACCCCUGGUAAGUCCACGCCCUAAACGAUGUCUACUAGUUGUCGGGUCUUAAUUGACUUGGUAACGCAGCUAACGCGUGAAGUAGACCGCCUGGGGAGUACGGUCGCAAGAUUAAAACUCAAAGGAAUUGACGG